AUUGAACGCUGGCGGCAGGCCUAACACAUGCAAGUCGAACGAGUGGCGGACGGGUGAAUAAUGUAUGGGAAACUGCCUAAUCGAGGGGGAUAACUACUGGAAACGGUAGCUAAUACUGCAUACCAUCAGAUGUGCCCAGAUGGGAGUAGGUAGUUGGUGGGGUAACGGUUCACCAAGGCGACGAGCCCUAGCGGGUCUGAGAGGGUGAACAGCCACACUGGGACUGAGACACGGUCCAGACUCCUACGGGAGGCAGCAGUGGGGAAUAUUGCGCAAUGGACGCAAGCCUGAUGCAGCAAUGCCGCGUGUAUGAAGAAGGCUUUCGGAUUGUAAAGUACUUUCAGCGGGGAGGCGUUACCUAACGAAGAAGCACCGGCUAACUCCGUGCCAGCAGCCGCGGUAAUUC
rnacentral:rRNA from 1 species